AAAUAAUGGUACUUGUUAAAUACUCUAUGCCAAGCACUGGAGUAGAUACAAGCUAGGUAGUGAUAGCAAUGGAGUUGAUCAUCUAGGGUUGGGAUAAGUGAUAUCACCUGUACUGAAUUAUCCAAGGAGUUGGGGUGGGUGAAGGAAGCUGGAGUUGUGUAUGUAGCAGGGCAGGCAGGAGACUAGGGCUGGAUAGUCAUUGUCAGUUGGAUUAAUGAUGUGUAUGUAGUGGAGAGGGCUGAGGGUGGUAGGAGAAUGUGUUGGAUAGCAUUUCCUUGCUCAUUCUGUUGAUCAGAUGAUGGUGUUUGGCAGGCACUUAAUAUGUGUUCCAAGUGCUGUCGGAUUGGACACUGAUGUGUGUGGUUAGCGGUGUUGGUAGCCGAGCCUCUGAUUUGGUUCUCUGGAGCGGAGGAAGUUGAGGGGUCAUGAUGCAAUGAAGUUCGUUUGUUUUUUAGGGAGACGAUUGCUGCUCUGCAUCUGGAGGUGAGGGUUUCAAUGGGGCUGAAAUCAUGGGGUGCAUGGGGGUGCAUGCUCACUGUUUCUGAGUGCCUCUGUGUGUCUCUGUGUGUCUUUGUCAUUGAGCUCUCUUCCUGUGCUCUUGCCAGGCCCCAGUUAGCUAGUAUUGCCCACUCGACCAUAAAGUCAUCCAAUCGAGUGACCUUCCACAACCUCAACACAGGACUUUGUUCCUGGAAUGUGCCGGAUUCAAGGCAGUUUCUACAGGGCUUGUGCAACCCCCCACCCCAUUAUACAAAAUUGGGUACAUCUCCAGCCCCCAUCCACGGAAAACUUGCCCUCUGCUCUCCACUCUCCUCACUGAAUUCAGCGCCGUGGAUCGGUCCUGGAGCGUCAGAAUGUGAGUCCCCCCUCCCGGGGACGGGAACCAAGACCCGCCGAUGGGGAAGGGGUGGGGUGGCAAUGCCAUGGUGAACGCCUCGAGGGCAAAUCGCGCCGACCGCAGCUCGCCGUCGGGGGACUCUUUUUUCGAAUUCCCAGUUCGUGUACCCUAAGAUACAAGUCUCCGAUUAUGCCACUGCGGGACUCCAUGAGAGCCCCACAAAAGCCCAGCAGCGAGUUGGGGUUCAGUAGCCCCACCCAUGUGGAGUAGACUGUAAACUGCUUGUGGGCAAGGAAUGUCCGUUCCGUUGUGCUCUCCAAAAUGCUUAAUACAGUACUGCGUGCUCAAUAAAUACUCUGGCCUGAUCCAGAGCACCACCAGCACAAGCGCGGUUGUAAGAGCAGAGGCUCAGUCUCCAACAGGAUUCGUUGUAAGAGCAGAAGCUGAGUCUCCAACCGUAUUCGUUGAGUACUUAAUAGAUGUGCGCCCGGGAGACGGAGUUACCAGUGCAAAUCUCUCCUUGAGUUGGAAUCUAGUCUACAGAAUAUUUCCAAUUGACUCUUCCACCCACUUGUCACGGCUCCUACUGAAAUGGACGUAAUUUAUUCCUAUCAAUGUCAGUCUCCCCUUCUGGAUGGGCCCAGGAAGGAGCCUGAGGAGCCCCAGGUGCAUCCUGGAAGACCCUGCCCCCUGGUCCAACCCUGCCUCCCAAGGACGUGUUGGUGCAGACAGGACUGGACAGAAUGGAAGCCCCAGCACAGCCCCGAACUGGACUCCUCGGCCCCGUGGACAGUGGAGGACUGACCGGCUACUCACCUGGGGUUAUGGACACUCAUAGAUUGAUUGCGCCGGCCCCACCAUGAGGGAAUCGGUUGGCACUGGGCUGCUGCCCCGUGGACACCCAUCCCCGCCCCCAGCCUGAAACUGUAUCCCCCCCCUUCCAGACAAUGCCAUUUCGUUUAGGAGUCAAGGGUCAAACCCUGCAUCAUGGGUGCCAAAUCAGUCUCUUGCAAAUCUAGGAGGUGAUGGAGGCGUGUGCGUGCAUGUGUGUCUGUUUCUUGUGUGAGAGCGAGGGCCGGGACAGGAGCAGGGUGAGAGGGGCUGCCCCUCUUUGGCGGGUAAAGGUUUCUGGAAACAGGGGUCUAGAGUCCUGGGCCCGUACUCCGUGGACCUCAAGACCGGGCGUGAAGUCGUGCCGGGGCCCUUAAUUCUAUAGUCAGCGCGUCUUACUCCCGCUCUGGUCCGUUGGGAGUUGUCGGGCCUGCUCUGGCUUCAGGAGUACAGACUCUCUUUCCCGCCUGAGGGGGCCACCCAGGGGGAGCGAGGGACAGGAGUAGUGGGAUGUGUGUGUGUCUGUGUGUAUGUGUCACUACCCUAUGGCCUCCAUCCCUCCUGGAUGAGCAUAAGGGCGGGGGCGAAAGGACUAGCAGCAAAUUCUAAAGUGGGAAGAUGCAGAAUGGUUUCCCUCCCAUCCUACCACCAGAAAUGGCAUGGUCCGGCUCCCUCCUCUCCUCCCUGUCCCCUUGGCUGCCUGGGCUCCGUGAGCCCAUCUACAUCUGUAUGGAAUAAAAUGGAUAUUUUUUUUGUCUU